ACGCUCGACACCUACGGGAAGCAGCAGUGAGGAAUAUUGGUCAAUGGACGCAAGUCUGAACCAGCCAUGCCGCGUGCAGGAUGACGGCUCUAUGAGUUGUAAACUGCUUUUGUACGAGGGUAAACGCAGAUACGUGUAUCUGUCUGAAAGUAUCGUACGAAUAAGGAUCGGCUAACUCCGUGCCACAGCCGCGGUAAUCUGAGCGGGCUGGCAAGGC
rnacentral:rRNA from 1 species